rnacentral:rRNA from 1 species
UAUCCGCCCGGGAACUACAAGCACAAGCUUGAAACCCAAAGGACUUGGCGGUGCUUUAGAUCCUCCUAGAGGAGCCUGUUCUAGAACCGAUAACCCCCGUUCAACCUCACCUUUCCUUGUUUUUCCCGCCUAUAUACCGCCGUCGUCAGCCCACCCCGUGAGGGCUUAAAAGUAGGCUUAAUUGGCACAGCCCAAUACGUCAGGCCGAGGUGUAGCGUAUGGAAGGGGAAGAAAUGGGCUACAUUCCCUAUGUUAGGGCAUACGAAUGGUGUGCUGAAACGCAUAUCUUGAAGGAGGAUUUAGCAGUAAGCAGGAAGUAGAGCGUUCUGCUGAAAUUGGCUC